rnacentral:tRNA from 1 species
GGGCGGUUAGCUCAGUUGGUUAGAGCGCAGCGUUGACAUCGCUGAGGUCACUGGUUCGAGUCCAGUACCGCCCA